rnacentral:rRNA from 1 species
UGGGGAAUAUUGCACAAUGGGCGAAAGCCUGAUGCAGCGACGCCGCGUGCGGGAUGAAGGCCUUCGGGUUGUAAACCGCUUUUGAUUGGGAGCAAGCGAGAGUGAGUGUACCUUUCGAAUAAGCACCGGCUAACUACGUGCCAGCAGCCGCGGUAAUACGUAGGGUGCAAGCGUUAUCCGGAAUUAUUGGGCGUAAAGAGCUCGUAGGCGGUUUGUCGCGUCUGGUGUGAAAGUCCAUCGCUUAACGGUGGAUCUGCGCCGGGUACGGGCAGGCUAGAGUGCGACAGGGGAGACUGGAAUUCCCGGUGUAACGGUGGAAUGUGUAGAUAUCGGGAAGAACACCAAUGGCGAAGGCAGGUCUCUGGGUCGUCACUGACGCUGAGGAGCGAAAGCGUGGGGAGCGAACAGGAUUAGAUACCCUGGUAGUCCACGCCGUAAACGGUGGAUGCUGGAUGUGGGGGCCCAUUCCACGGGU